AGUGAACGCUGGCGGUAGGCCUAACACAUGCAAGUCGAACGGCAGCACAGUAAGAGCUUGCUCUUACGGGUGGCGAGUGGCGGACGGGUGAGGAAUACAUCGGAAUCUACUUUUUCGUGGGGGAUAACGUAGGGAAACUUACGCUAAUACCGCAUACGACCUACGGGUGAAAGCAGGGGAUCUUCGGACCUUGCGCGAUUGAAUGAGCCGAUGUCGGAUUAGCUAGUUGGCGGGGUAAAGGCCCACCAAGGCGACGAUCCGUAGCUGGUCUGAGAGGAUGAUCAGCCACACUGGAACUGAGACACGGUCCAGACUCCUACAGGAGGCAGCAGUGGGGAAUAUUGGACAAUGGGCGCAAGCCUGAUCCAGCCAUACCGCGUGGGUGAAGAAGGCCUUCGGGUUGUAAGGCCCUUUUGUUGGGAAAGAAAAGCAGCAGGUUAAUACCCCGCUGUUCUGACGGUACCCAAAGAAUAAGCACCGGCUAACUUCGUG
rnacentral:rRNA from 1 species